CAAAUACUCCCUCCAUUCGGAAUUACUCGUCCAAAAAAUUAAUUUAUCUAGAUGUAUUUUAGUUGUAGAUACAUCCAUUUUUAUCCAUUUUUAUGACAAGUAAUUCCGAACGGAGGGAGUAAUUG
rfam:Triticum aestivum genome assembly, contig: Triticum_aestivum_CS42_TGACv1_scaffold_578440_7BL